rnacentral:rRNA from 1 species
GAUGAACGCUGGCGGCGUGCCUAAUACAUGCAAGUCGAGCGAACGGACGAGAAGCUUGCUUCUCUGAUGUUAGCGGCGGACGGGUGAGUAACACGUGGAUAACCUACCUAUAAGACUGGGAUAACUUCGGGAAACCGGAGCUAAUACCGGAUAAUAUUUUGAACCGCAUGGUUCAAAAGUGAAAGACGGUCUUGCUGUCACUUAUAGAUGGAUCCGCGCUGCAUUAGCUAGUUGGUAAGGUAACGGCUUACCAAGGCAACGAUGCAUAGCCGACCUGAGAGGGUGAUCGGCCACACUGGAACUGAGACACGGUCCAGACUCCUACGGGAGGCAGCAGUAGGGAAUCUUCCGCAAUGGGCGAAAGCCUGACGGAGCAACGCCGCGUGAGUGAUGAAGGUCUUCGGAUCGUAAAACUUUGUUAUUAGGGAAGAACAUAUGUGUAAGUAACUGUGCACAUCUUGACGGUACCUAAUCAGAAAGCCACGGCUAACUACGUGCCAGCAGCCGCGGUAAUACGUAGGUGGCAAGCGUUAUCCGGAAUUAUUGGGCGUAAAGCGCGCGUAGGCGGUUUUUUAAGUCUGAUGUGAAAGCCCACGGCUCAACCGUGGAGGGUCAUUGGAAACUGGAAAACUUGAGUGCAGAAGAGGAAAGUGGAAUUCCAUGUGUAGCGGUGAAAUGCGCAGAGAUAUGGAGGAACACCAGUGGCGAAGGCGACUUUCUGGUCUGUAACUGACGCUGAUGUGCGAAAGCGUGGGGAUCAAACAGGAUUAGAUACCCUGGUAGUCCACGCCGUAAACGAUGAGUGCUAAGUGUUAGGGGGUUUCCGCCCCUUAGUGCUGCAGCUAACGCAUUAAGCACUCCGCCUGGGGAGUACGACCGCAAGGUUGAAACUCAAAGGAAUUGACGGGGACCCGCACAAGCGGUGGAGCAUGUGGUUUAAUUCGAAGCAACGCGAAGAACCUUACCAAAUCUUGACAGCCUUUGACAACUCUAGAGAUAGAGCUUUCCCCUUCGGGGGACAAAGUGACAGGUGGUGCAUGGUUGUCGUCAGCUCGUGUCGUGAGAUGUUGGGUUAAGUCCCGCAACGAGCGCAACCCUUAAGCUUAGUUGCCAUCAUUAAGUUGGGCACUCUAAGUUGACUGCCGGUGACAAACCGGAGGAAGGUGGGGAUGACGUCAAAUCAUCAUGCCCCUUAUGAUUUGGGCUACACACGUGCUACAAUGGACAAUACAAAGGGCAGCGAAACCGCGAGGUCAAGCAAAUCCCAUAAAGUUGUUCUCAGUUCGGAUUGUAGUCUGCAACUCGACUACAUGAAGCUGGAAUCGCUAGUAAUCGUAGAUCAGCAUGCUACGGUGAAUACGUUCCCGGGUCU